GGUGGCCCUACAAAAUCUCAACUGGUACAUGAGGUAGAUGCACUGGGUGGUGAAAUUGGGAAAAUUGUUGAUAGAAUUUUUCAAUAGAUGAACAACUUGCUUGCUAUUAUGGAUUCCCAAGAUGCCUUGGGGUUGUCAAUGACAUUGAAGCAGAGGAGAAAGUUGCCAAGAUUUGUGUGCGAUCUGAAUGUUUGUUGAAGAUGGUAACAUCACAUGUUGUUUCACAAAAUGUUUCCCCAAGAAGAAUUUUUCUUUGAGAAUUCCGUGUAUAAAGAUACAGAAGAUGAUGUUGGUUCCUCCGACUGAUUCUCAGCCCUUGAUGAUGAAAUGUUAUAGAUGUGUAUAUUUUUAUUUUCAUCAUUUGUGCUAACAUUUUCUGUUUCAAUGGCCAAUUCGUCCGGUACUAAACUGAACUCCAUCGCCAGUUUCAUUCUCUUAGGGCUGGUGUCAUUGAAGAAGUGCGUGUACAGAGAUAAAGGUUUUG